rnacentral:rRNA from 1 species
UACGUAGGGUGCAAGCGUUGUCCGGAAUUAUUGGGCGUAAAGAGCUUGUAGGCGGUUUGUCGCGUCUGCUGUGAAAUUUCGGGGCUCAACCCCCGAACUUGCAGUGGGUACGGGCAGACUAGAGUGUGGUAGGGGAGACUGGAAUUCCUGGUGUAGCGGUGAAAUGCGCAGAUAUCAGGAGGAACACCGAUGGCGAAGGCAGGUCUCUGGGCCAUAACUGACGUGAGAAGCGAAAGCAUGGGGAGCGAACAGG